ensembl:snRNA LOC120101965 U6 spliceosomal RNA
GCUCGCUUCAGCAGUGCAUUUACUAAAAUUGGAACGACACAGAGAUUAGCAGGACCCUGCACAGGGAUGACGUGCUAAGUCAGGAAGCAUUCCACUUGCUU